rnacentral:rRNA from 1 species
AUGGGUGAUACUCGCCCAAUCUUUGUGUUCCUAUCGGUGAUGGAUGAGGAUGGAAUCGGUGGAGGCUUGACGGUGACAGACGAGGAUGGACUUGAUGGAGGCUUGCCGCUGUCGGUGACGGAAGGGAAAGUGCUCGAUGGAGGCUUCAAUUUUGGGGUGUACUCCUCCUCUCUCACUCCCAUGACAAGAUCAUCCGCCACCUCGCACCCGUCUGGCCGUGGGAGGAGACAGACGGAUAGAAGCUCGUGUGGGCGCCGUUUUAUGCCGCUGGGGUGGAAUGGGGAGAAGAUGGAGGGGUGUUGGUGGCAGAAGCUUGUGGAGAAGGAGGAUGAUGCGGUGGAGGGUCGGAGGCAAGACGUUGAGGCUACAACAGUGGAUGCGUGA